GCUGCUUUUAUUUUUGAAUCACCCUAUCCAUAGAGGGUGAUCACUAUAUCAUCGGGCUUUCCUUGCACUAGCAUUGGCCCUGCGUUCAACACCUGUGUAGCCAACAAGAGUGAUUCCUCUUCAAAUAUUCUUUUUUACAAUAGGAAGGUUUCUAAUGUUUUCUAGAUUGAAGUUUAUGCAAUGGGCAGGACAAGGACUAAAAAAAGUGUUUUUUUUCCCCUCUCUCUUUCUCUCUCUUUUAACACCUUAUUGGCUAGAACGUAGUUGCCUCUAUUGCUUGUUAUAAUUUGAAUAUACCUUUUUCCUCCCCAAUCUCAUCCACAAGAGAAUUAAGUAACUCAGAAUUUUUCUACAGUCUUCACAAGUUGGGAUCCAUCAAUAGACUUCACAAACAUUAUUGUGACUGUAGAGCUUGCUUAAAAAUUGAUCAAGGAACUGGCAUACUAAAUUAGCCAUGUUUGUCCCAGUGCUCCUUAUGGUCCUUCAACAUAUUUUAGUAAACUCCAUCUCCUUCUUGAUAAGUGGAAUUCUGAUAGGAACUCAGAAACAACAGCAGGGGCAGGGGUCACAAUAGCAAACCAGGGGUACAGGAAGAAAUAAAGCCCAAAAGAAAAGUUGCAAAACCAUCUUACCUCAACCAUUACGUCAGAGGAAGAAUGGAUGAUGAUCAGCGAAGGCACCUUAGGAAAAUCUCCUUGCUUGAUGCUGUCUGCUCCAGGGGACAAGCACUAACAAAUUUGGUUAUUACAAAUAUUCCUAGAAUCUUUCUGUUACUUGGAAGCUUAUAAAUAUAAGUAAAUAACAAGUAAGG
rnacentral:lncRNA from 1 species